ACGGGCUCAUAACCCGU
rnacentral:misc_RNA from 1 species